GCCUCCUUAGCUCAGUGGUAGAGCAACGCUCUUGUAAAGCGUAGGUCGUCAGUUCAAUCCUGACAGGGGGCUC
rnacentral:tRNA from 2 species